AGAGCUCCGGCCUGGAAGAGGGAGGGGAGCAUCAGUUGGCGCCGGAAGAGUGGUCAGGAAGCUGAUGCAGCCGCUCAGGGGGAGAUAAAGACAGGCUGCUCUGGGCUGGGCGGGGUGGACGGAGAUGCUGCAGGAUCUUGAAUAUGGUUCUCUGUGCUGUACAGCAGGACCUUGUUGUUUAUCCAUUCUGUAUAUUUGAGCAUCCAUCAGUGAUUCACGCCUGCAACAGUUACUACUGUGGU